GAUUCGCCGGCAAAAAUUCAGGUGUCGACAUGAUGAAGUCAUGUCGACACCUGAAUUAGCAAAUGAAGUCAUUGCUAUAUGCUCUUCAUAUUUGGUAAAUUAUUUUCUAUGGGCUAGGUGAUUACUACGUUCAACUUUUUCUUAUCCCUACCGGCGCUUCAAAAGUGGUUCUGUGCCAACUCGAAAUAUUGGUGCAGCAUUACCUCGAGGAGAGUGGCAAACAGCGCAACUGUCGACGGAACUUUAAGGCGAAUGCCCCGUCAUCUGGUUGAUGAAAGGGCUGUAGUAAACUUUUAAUCUGUGAUUGCUCAUGCAGUUGUUCUUGCCGUGCCGACUGCUCGUUUGUUCAAUUCCUUUUCUCCAGGUUGGCAAUUAUUAUGUUGGUAGCUUUGCACCCUUUUGUUUAAAGAUGAUGAUGCUGCACGAUCUACUUUCUGACCUUUUUACAGCUACAGUCCUUGAAGAAGCUUCCUGGAGACUAUGAGAAUGAUGCAUGAACUAAGCAGUUACUGCAACAUAUGUUGCUCCGUCUGAGCUCGUCUGGCGGCUGCUCACAAAAUAAAAGGACUUGCUCUACUUGGACGCCUUCAUUUUGUACCGAUCUUAGGAUUUCGAUUUUCAUCUUUACUUGAGCUCACUUUAUUGAGCUCAUGUGUCAGUUGUCGCUGUUCGACGCUCGAAGAAUCUUUUCCAGUGUUUUUCGUCGUCAAACAGUCUGUUUAUGUAACUUCGCAUCCAUUUUCAUGGUCAUCCUUGACGAUCAUUACAAUUAGGGUCAUUGCAUCUUCUGACUUCCUCUCAAAACAUGUAAAUACAUGCAUUCAAGAAAGCAACAUCAUAUGGUUGUGCUAGAGGGACCCAAUAUUUCUAGCCGGGGUUUCUUAUUUUUGGUGUUCACUUCAGUUGCGAACAGGAGUUGCUCCUCAGGAUCAGACCAAGUUGUGGUGGGGAACAUUUUACAUCUCCAAGAACAUGAUGACGAGAAUGUGGCAGAAGAAGUUGUUUCAGCAUGUGGAAACGAUGACUCCUCCAAUGCCAAUGGUUGCACCCAUUGGGAUGAGACAUCUGAAAUGGAAUUUUCUGGUGGAAUGUCAUCCUUUUGUUAAGUUCAAGAGUAAUAUACCCAAAUAAUGAUGUUGCAGACAUUUAUCAUGAUUUGGCAAAGAAGGUCAGGUGCCUCUUGGGAAUUCAACAAGCAUCAUUCAAUGCAUCUCGUUUGCAUCCUGUUAUUUGUGGCAUUUAAGAGCGAAUUUUCAAAAUUCGAGGGACCCAAGGACUUGCAGCUUACACCCACCCCCCAACACAGACUUGAUAAAAGAUGCAUAAUGGCAAUCCCUAGCAUUGGAGAUAGUGGUGAAGUUACCAUGUGAUCACUCAGACCACAAGUUUACAUUGGUGGAAGUGUUUUUGGCUAAUGAUAGAACACUACAUAUGUAAAGACAGAGUUCCCCCUGUUCCGCUAGAAUUUCCGAAACAUGUUUAGGAUGCUUGUGUGAUCCAGUCAGAUAUGAUAAUGGCCCUUUUAGCUCAAGUGGACUAAGGAGACCUAAAGUUAUGCCAAAAAUUAAACUGCGUGAUGAUUGCUCAUAUUUAUUUUUCUGCAAGAAAGAAUUUUUUCUAAUAGUGGGAGAAGGAUACUUGUAAAGAGAACUUGGCUUGGGACGAUAAGCGUAAAGUUUCUUCUACAUUUCUGGAUACUCUCCAACCUUUGUUUGUUCUGUUUCUGAGCCUCACUCAAACGAUGUAUCCCACAGUUCUCCCAUCAGCUUGACAGAGAGCGUACCCAAUGUCAAGUAAAUUUCUCUCGUUCCUAAUUUAUUGGCUAAACCUCUUAAUACUUCCCCUCUUAAGGUCUUCCGCACUACCUACAACAUAUCCCAUUAAGAGCAGUUUCUGUUCACUUGGCUACACAUUAGUCCAGUUUAUUUUGGUAUGUCAUAGGGAAUUCUCUAUAACAAGUAUGACAGGAGGUUACAGGCGGGUUUUUCAGAAACCAAUGGACUAUGAAUGGUGUGAUCUGGCUUUUCCUGUUAUUUUCUGCCCCCAUCUUUCUCAAAUAUCUUGUUAGCCGGAUAUAAAAAUUCUGAGAUUGUUCCUCUCAGCAACAUUGUUUUCUGCUGGCACAGGGAGAUGCUCAGAUACAGUGAUUAUGGUGUACCGCUGGCCGAGAGUGAUUUAGACAAAUUUACCAAAUUCAAGCCUCUCAGGGUAGCUGAAGGGAAGGACGUUGUCAGUGGAAACGAAGACAAUAAUCUAUCAAAUUCUGUGAACCCGUCUUGUGAGAACGGUGUGAAUGCUUCAGUAAGCGCUGGUGAAGCUAGUAUCUCUGACA